UAUUGGACAAUGGGGGGAACCCUGAUCCAGCGACGCCGCGUGAGUGAAGAAGUAUCUCGGCAUGUAAAGCUCUAUCAGCAGGGAAGAAAGAAAUGACGGUACCUGAGUAAGCAGCCCCGGCUAACUACGUGCCAACAGCCGCGGUAAUACGUAGGGGGCAAGCGUUACCCGGGAUUACUGGGUGUAAAGGGAGCGUAGACGGUGAUGAAAGUCUGGAGUGAAAGGCGGGGGCCCAACCCCCGGUCUGCUCUGGAAACUAUGUGACUGGAGUGCAGGAGAGGUGAGCGGAAUUCCUAGUGUAGCGGUGAAAUGCGUAGAUAUUAGGAGGAACACCAGUGGCGAAGGCGGCUCACUGGACUGUAACUGACGUUGAGGCUCGAAAGCGUGGGGAGCAAACAGG
rnacentral:rRNA from 1 species